AAAGAGACACCAGAGAAAUGGGAUAUAUGUCAGUCCACACACACAAUCACACGGAGAGGCAUCAUAAUCAUGGACGCUCACGGACUCAUGAGAAAGAGGGAGAGAGAGAUGGAUGUUUACUUUCCUCUGAGCUUCCGCCUCUUUGAUUGGACAGAUGAAUGACUUCAUUGUGUCUGUGUUUCCUCCUCUCUCUCUCUCUCUCUCUCUCUCUCUCUGUUCCUCUUUUCAACAUGGAGAUGGAAAAUAAAGACGGACAGAGAGACAGAGGAAGGGUGAGUGAAACCCUGGAACCAUGAAGAAAGUCCCACCUACCAAGAUGGCGGUUCGGAGUUCCGUGCCUCUGGUAAGGCACAGACCUGACCAGAGGUGGAUGGGAGAACUCAGAUUUUACGUCUUUCCAUCUUCUGGUUUGGAGCAAAUCAACCAGGCUGGUGUAGAAAUGACUGCAGCCAGAGAAACCGUCCAGAUGAGCCCGAAACGUCUCCAGGUGAUGAGAUGUUCUACAGCCACAGAGUGGCGAUAGACAACAACCCAUCCUCCUUCAUCUCUCACCUACUCCAAGCCUUCAUCUCUCCCUGCUGCCUGGGCUGCUCCCUCUGCAAACCAGACACAUCUGGGGAGGGAAGAAAGACGUUUCUGGCAGCAAACCGGAGCCGUUUUACUGGGGAAGAUGGAGAGCUUUAAAGAGGGCGAAACGGAGGAGGAAGAGGAGGAGGAGGAAGAGGAGGCAUUAGAAGAAUGUCAAUAUGAUUGGAGGAAGAGGAGUGUGUGUUCGCUGCGCGUUCAGCAACAAUAGCUCUCCAGCCGUGUUGUUCCAUGUGCAUUCACAUGAUCCAUUAUUACCUCUGACAUGUACCGCUGGGCGAGCGAGGGAGAGAGAGGGAGAAAGAGAGAGAGAGAGAGAGAGAGAGAGAGAGAUGACUGAGAGGAAUAAAGAAGAGACAGAGAUGCACCUGUGAUUGUAGGUCACACACCAAGGAUCCACAGCAACGCAACUCGGUCAAUUAUUAGCCGAAAACCGACCGUCUGUCGUCUGCAACAACAAAAAAAGCCCAACUGGGACCAGAACCAGAGUUCCCAACAAAAGGAGAAAUUCCCAGGACUUUCCAGGACGAUUCCAGGAUGAUUCCAGGAUUACAGUGAAGCCUCAUUAUGUUUUACACCUGAUUUAUUUUAUCAGGGAGGAAGAAAAGGAAGAAUCUGCAGAGCAUUUCUAAAAGAUUCUCCAGAUUUGAAUGAAGGAAGAAAGAAAAUAAAAAAAUAAGGUUUGAGGGAAGGAUGGACAAAGGAAAGGAAGGAAGGACAGAAUGUUAAGGUAUGAUGGAAAGAAGAACUAAAAGAUAGAA